GGGGGGAGGCUGGAUCCUGGGCUGUGUCCCCGGCGCCCUGUGCUCCUGGGCCUGGGCUGUUGGAUUCGCGCUCCCGGCUGGGCAGCCCCCU
rnacentral:pre_miRNA from 1 species